GAGAUAUCAGUUGAAAAUCUGAUUGCAUCUCUUGAUGUUGAAGAAAAAGCUCGGGCUAAAGAUACCACUGAAAAAGGAGGUGAGGUUCAGCCUACUGCUAACAUGGUGCAGAGGUACCCACAGAACAAGAACAAAGGGAAGAACAAACCUGUUUUCAACAAGCCUACCAAGACUACUACCUUCAAGAAGAAGAAGUUCAACAAGGCUGAGCUAGAGUGCUACGCCUGUGGGAAGUCUGGACACUUUUUCAAGGAAUGCCCUGAACGUGCAGACCGCAGAGGGAAAACAAGCUCCAAGACUGUCAACAUGGUGACCGCUAGCAAUACUGAUGGGUAUGGUAAUUUACCUAUUGUGCUUUCAGUAUUUCAAUCAUCUUCGUGGUGGAUUGAUUCGAGUGCUAACGUUCAUGUGUGUGCUGACAUCUCCCUGUUUACUUCUUAUCAGGUCGCAAGGGAUUCUUCCGUCCUAAUGGGGAAUGGGUCACAUGCUUCUGUUCGUGGCAUUGGCACGGUGGAUCUGAAGUUUACUUCGGAAAAGAUCGUGCAACUAAGGAACGUGCAGCAUGUCCCUACUAUGAACAAGAAUCUAGUUAGCGGCUCCCUUCUAUGUCGAGAUGGAUUUAAGGUAGUUUUAGAGUCCAAUAAAGUAAUCGUGUCAAGAUUUGGACAA
rnacentral:rRNA from 1 species